rnacentral:rRNA from 1 species
GACGGAGGAUGCAAGUGUUAUCCGGAAUCACUGGGCGUAAAGCGUCUGUAGGUGGUUUAAUAAGUCAACUGUUAAAUCUUGAGGCUCAACCUCAAAAUCGCAGUCGAAACUAUUAGGCUAGAGUACAGAAGGGGCAACUGGAAUUCUCGGUGUAGCGGUGAAAUGCGUAGAUAUCGAGAGGAACACCUGCGGCGAAGGCGGGUUGCUGGGCUGAUACUGACGCUGAGGCGCGAAAGCCAGGGGAGCGAACGGG